rnacentral:rRNA from 1 species
CAGUCGCCACGGUAAAACGGAGGGGGCUAGCGUUGUUCGGAAUUAUUGGGCGUAAAGCGCACGUAGGCGGCUUGGUAAGUUAGAGGUGAAAGCCUGGAACUCAACUCCAGAAUUGCCUUUAAGACUGCCGAGCUAGCAGGUGAGAGAGGUAAGUGGAAUUCCGAGUGUAGAGGUGAAAUUCGUAGAUAUUCGGAAGAACACCAGUGGCGAAGGCGGCUUACUGGCUCAUACUGGACGCUGAGGUGCGAAAGCGUGGGGAGCAAACAGGAUUAGAUACCCCUGUAGUCCCUGUCUCUUAUAC